CCUACGGGAGGCUGCAGUGGGGGAUAUUGCACAAUGGGGGGAACCCUGAUGCAGCGACGCCGCGUGGGUGAAGAAGCGCCUCGGCGCGUAAAGCCCUGUCAGCAGGGAAGAAAAUGACGGUACCUGUAGAAGAAGCCCCGGCGAACUACGUGCCAGCAGCCGCGGUAAUACGGAGGGGGCAAGCGUUAGCCGGAUGUACUGGGUGUAAAGUGGGCGCAGACGGCGAGGCAAGCCAGGAGUGAAAGCCCGGGGCCCAACCUGGGGACUGCUCUUGGAACUGCGUGGCUGGAGUGCAGGAGGGGCAGGCAGAAUUCCUGGUGUAGCGGUGAAAUGCGUAGAGAUCAGGAGGAACACCGGUGGCGAAGGCGGCCUGCUGGACUGCAACUGACGUUGAGGCCCGAAAGCGUGGGGAGCAAACAGGAUUAGAUACCCUAGUAGUC
rnacentral:rRNA from 1 species